rnacentral:rRNA from 1 species
AGCCGCCCGUAAUUCGGGGGGGGCCAAGCGUUAUUCGGAAUCAUUGGGCGUAAAGAGGCGCGUAGGCGGAUAUUAUAAGUCCGCUGUGAAAGCCCCGGGCUCAACCCCGGAAGGGCAGUUGAUACCGUAUAUCCUGAAUAUGGGAAGGGAAAGUGGAAUUCCUGGUGUAGCGGUGAAAUGCGUAGAUAUCCGGAAGAAUACCGGUGGCGAAGGCGACUUUCUGGACCAAUAUUGACGCUGAGGCGCGAAGGCGUGGGGAGCAAACAGGAUUAGAUACCCUGGUAGUCCACGCAGUAAACGUUGAACACUAGGUGUAGCGGGUAUUGACCCCUGCUGUGCCGAAGCUAACGCAUUAAGUGUUCCGCCUGGGGAGUACGGUCGCAAGAUUAAAACUCAAAUGAAUUGACGG